GACGAACGCUGGCGGCGUGCCUAAUACAUGCAAGUUGAGCGCUGAAGGUUGGUACUUGUACCAACUGGAUGAGCAGCGAACGGGUGAGUAACGCGUGGGGAAUCUGCCUUUGAGCGGGGGACAACAUUUGGAAACGAAUGCUAAUACCGCAUAAAAACUUUAAACACAAGUUUUAAGUUUGAAAGAUGCAAUUGCAUCACUCAAAGAUGAUCCCGCGUUGUAUUAGCUAGUUGGUGAGGUAAAGGCUCACCAAGGCGAUGAUACAUAGCCGACCUGAGAGGGUGAUCGGCCAAAUUGGGACUGAGACACGGCCCAAACUCCUACGGGAGGCAGCAGUAGGGAAUCUUCGGCAAUGGACGAAAGUCUGACCGAGCAACGCCGCGUGAGUGAAGAAGGUUUUCGGAUCGUAAAACUCUGUUGGUAGAGAAGAACGUUGGGGAGAGUGGAAAGCUCAUCAAGUGACGGUAACUACCCAGAAAGGGACGGCUAACUACGUG
rnacentral:rRNA from 1 species